GACGAACGCUGGCGGCGUGCUUAACACAUGCAAGUCGAACGGAAAGGCCCCUUCGGGGGUACUCGAGUGGCGAACGGGUGAGUAACACGUGAGUAACCUGCCCUUGACUUCGGGAUAACUUCAGGAAACUGGGGCUAAUACCGGAUAGGAAUCCUUGCUGCAUGGUGGGGGUUGGAAAGCUUCGGCGGUUUUGGAUGGACUCGCGGCUUAUCAGCUUGUUGGUGGGGUAGUGGCUUACCAAGGCUUUGACGGGUAGCCGGCCUGAGAGGGCGACCGGCCACAUUGGGACUGAGAUACGGCCCAGACUCCUACGGGAGGCAGCAGUGGGGAAUAUUGCACAAUGGGCGGAAGCCUGAUGCAGCAACGCCGCGUGCGGGAUGACGGCCUUCGGGUUGUAAACCGCUUUCAGCAGGGGCGAAGCUUGUGGUGACGGUACCUGCAGAAGAAGCACCGGCCAACUACGUG
rnacentral:rRNA from 1 species